GGGCCCGCACAAGCGGUGGAGUAUGUGGUUUAAUUCGAUGCAACGCGAAGAACCUUACCAGGGUUUGACAUCCUGCGAAUCUCUUGGAAACGAGAGAGUGCCUUCGGGAACGCAGUGACAGGUGGUGCAUGGCUGUCGUCAGCUCGUGUCGUGAGAUGUUGGGUUAAGUCCCGCAACGAGCGCAACCCACGUCGUUAGUUGCCAGCAUUUAGUUGGGCACUCUAGCGAGACCGCCGGUGAUAAACCGGAGGAAGGUGUGGAUGACGUCAAGUCAUCAUGCCCCUUACAUCCUGGGCUACACACGUACUACAAUGGUAUCUACAACAGGAAGCAAGACGGCGACGUUAAGCAAA
rnacentral:rRNA from 1 species